rnacentral:rRNA from 1 species
CGCUGGCGGCAGGCUUACACAUGCAAGUCGAGCGGAGAUGAGGUGCUUGCACCUUAUCUUAGCGGCGGACGGGUGAGUAAUGCUUAGGAAUCUGCCAUUUAGUGGGGGACAACAUUCCGAAAGGAAUGCUAAUACCGCAUACGUCCUACGGGAGAAAGCAGGGGAUCUUCGGACCUUGCGCUAAAUGAUGAGCCUAAGUCGGAUUAGCUAGUUGGUGGGGUAAAGGCCUACCAAGGCGACGAUCUGUAGCGGGUCUGAGAGGAUGAUCCGCCACACUGGGACUGAGACACGGCCCAGACUCCUACGGGAGGCAGCAGUGGGGAAUAUUGGACAAUGGGCGGAAGCCUGAUCCAGCCAUGCCGCGUGUGUGAAGAAGGCCUUUUGGUUGUAAAGCACUUUAAGCGAGGAGGAGGCUACUAGUACUAAUACUACUGGAUAGUGGACGUUACUCGCAGAAUAAGCACCGGCUAACUCUGUGCCAGCAGCCGCGGUAAUACAGAGGGUGCGAGCGUUAAUCGGAUUUACUGGGCGUAAAGCGUGCGUAGGCGGCUUUUUAAGUCGGAUGUGAAAUCCCCGAGCUUAACUUGGGAAUUGCAUUCGAUACUGGGAAGCUAGAGUAUGGGAGAGGAUGGUAGAAUUCCAGGUGUAGCGGUGAAAUGCGUAGAGAUCUGGAGGAAUACCGAUGGCGAAGGCAGCCAUCUGGCCUAAUACUGACGCUGAGGUACGAAAGCAUGGGGAGCAAACAGGAUUAGAUACCCUGGUAGUCCAUGCCGUAAACGAUGUCUACUAGCCGUUGGGGCCUUUGAGGCUUUAGUGGCGCAGCUAACGCGAUAAGUAGACCGCCUGGGGAGUACGGUCGCAAGACUAAAACUCAAUGAAUUGACGGGGGCCCGCACAAGCGGUGGAGCAUGUGGUUUAAUUCGAUGCAACGCGAAGAACCCUUACCUGGCCUUGACAUACUAGAAACUUUCCAGAGAUGGA